rnacentral:rRNA from 1 species
GCUUGUCUCAAAGAUUAAGCCAUGCAUGUCCAAGUAUAAACAUUUAUACUGUGAAACUGCGAAUGGCUCAUUAAAUCAGUUAUAAUUUAUUUGAUAAUAUUUUUUUACUUGGAUAACCGUAAAAAUUUUAGAGCUAAUACAUGCAAUAAACUUGACUUUUGGAAGAGUUGUAUUUAUUAGAUACAAAACUAACCAAUUUUGAAAAAAAUUGAAUUUGGUGAUUCAUAAUAACUUUACGAAUCUUUUCUUUUGAAAAGAUGAUUCAUUCAAAUUUCUGCCCUAUCAGCUUUGAUGGUAAGGUAUUGGCUUACCAUGGCAAUAACGGGUGACGGGGAAUUAGGGUUUGAUUCCGGAGAGGGAGCCUGAGAAACGGCUACCACUUCUAAGGAAGGCAGCAGG